rnacentral:rRNA from 1 species
CGAAGGGGGCUAGCGUUGUUCGGAAUUACUGGGCGUAAAGCGCAUGUAGGCGGCUAUUCAAGUCGGGGGUGAAAUCCUGAGGCUCAACCUCAGAACUGCCUUCGAUACUGUUUAGCUUGAGUGUGGAAGAGGUUGAUGGAACUGCAAGUGUAGAGGUGAAAUUCGUAGAUAUUUGCAAGAACACCAGUGGCGAAGGCGAUCAACUGGUCCAUUACUGACGCUGAGAUGCGAAAGCGUGGGGAGCAAACAGGAUUAGAUACCCUGGUAGUCCACGCCGUAAACGAUGAGAGCUAGCUGUUGGACUGUUUACAGUUCAGUAGCGCAGAUAACUCAAUAAGCUCUCCGCCUGGGGAGUACGGUCGCAAGAUUA